rnacentral:tRNA from 1 species
AAAAAUUUAGUUAAAAAAUAACACUAGCUUGUCAAGCUAAAAUCAUUGAAAUAAAACAAUAAUUUUUA